GGCUGGUCCAAUGGUAGUGGGUUAUCAGAACUUAACAGUGUCACUAAAGUUGGUAUUCAACCCCCCACUGCUAAAUUUGACUGGCUUUAA
rnacentral:Y_RNA from 1 species